rnacentral:lncRNA from 1 species
UUAAUUUCAUAUAGGUCUCUGUAAAUAUAGUGAAUAGCAAAUAUAUUACUAUAAAAUUUAACUUUUACAUAUUAUCUCUACAAAAGUCCUGUUAUUUUUAAAUAUAUUCUUGUCGUUAGAAUCUGUUAGAAAAAUUUAGUUAUCCAUAGGUUAAAUACUUAAUCUUGAUUAGUUUUGACAUUUUUAUUCCUCUUAUAUUAUACUAUUAUGACAUUUGGAUGUACAUAUUUGUGAUGGUAAAAUUGAAAAUAUAAACGGUUCUCCAACGGUAACAAACCAGAGAGAUAUAUUUAAAAUAUUAGAACUUUUGCAGGCAUACAACAUAUGAAAGUUGAACUUUGUAGGAAUAUAUUUGCUAUUACUAUGUUUGCAGGGAUUUGUAUGAAAUUAAUCAUUUUAUUUCUGAACACCAAAAAUAGGAUAAUCCAAUCUUAACGGUGAAACAAUGCCCGGGAAAGGU